UAGCUCAGCUGGGAGAGCGCCUGCUUUGCACGCAGGAGGUCUGCGGUUCGAUCCCGCA
rnacentral:tRNA from 4 species